rnacentral:rRNA from 1 species
CCUACGGGAGGCAGCAGUGGGGAAUAUUGGGCAAUGGAGGAAACUCUGGCCCAGCGACGCCGCGUGCGGGAUGAAGGCCUUCGGGUUGUAAACCGCUUUCAGCAGGGAAGAAGCGAAAGUGACGGUACCUGCAGAAGAAGCACCGGCUAACUAUGUGCCAGCAGCCGCGGUAAUACAUAGGGUGCAAGCGUUGUCCGGAAUUAUUGGGCGUAAAGAGCUCGUAGGUGGUUCGUCACGUCGGAUGUGAAAAUCUGGGGCUUAACCCCAGACCUGCAUUCGAUACGGGCGAGCUUGAGUAUGGUAGGGGAGUCUGGAAUUCCUGGUGUAGCGGUGGAAUGCGCAGAUAUCAGGAGGAACACCAAUGGCGAAGGCAGGACUCUGGGCCAUUACUGACACUGAGGAGCGAAAGCGUGGGGAGCGAACAGGAUUAGAUACCCUGGUAGUCCACGCCGUAAACGGUGGGCACUAGUUGUGGGGACCUUCCACGGUCUCUGCGACGCAGCUAACGCAUUAAGUGCCCCGCCUGGGGAGUACGAUCGCAAGNUUAAAACUCAAAGGAAUUGACGG